rnacentral:rRNA from 1 species
UACGUAGGGGGCAAGCGUUGUCCGGAUUUAUUGGGCGUAAAGAGCGCGUAGGCGGCUAGAUAGGUCCGUUGUGAAAACUCGAGGCUCAACCUCGAGACGUCGAUGGAAACCAUCUGGCUAGAGUCCGGAAGAGGAGAGUGGAAUUCCUGGUGUAGCGGUGAAAUGCGCAGAUAUCAGGAAGAACACCCGUGGCGAAGGCGGCUCUCUGGUACGUGACUGACGCUGAGACGCGAAAGCGUGGGGAGCGAACAGG